CAGAAUACCAACAUUCCCCCGUUUUGGUUUAAUUAAAAAAGAAAAAUUAGAGGUGAUGGUAGAGCAGGAAUAGGGUCAUCGUGAUCUCUGACUGCUUCCUGCUUGCUUUGUGGAGAUUGUCUCUAGGGAACCUAGAAAAGUGGGUAUGGGAUGUUUGUCCAGUCUUAGAGUUGGCUGUUUCCUUGUUGUCCAGGGUCUGUGGAACCAUCUGACAAUAGGUCAGAAGGAACAGGUCCAAUAGAAGCAUCUGUUUCUGUGAGAGGAGAUUGAACAUCUGGAGGUUGCUUCUCUGGAGCUGUCCUGGAUGUCUUUCUGCCCCUUGAGAGCCUCUCUGUGAGUGGGAUAUAGAAUGAAGAGUAACUAUGAUGAGAGAAGUCAGCUCUUCUUUGGGGUACCAGCAUCAUAGACUUUGCUGAGGAUGAAUAAAAAAAACCCCUUCAUUCUGAUGACGUCCCUCAUGCUCCUUGACGAAAAAAGAAUUAUGGUUGUCAUGCAACUGAAACAGCUUCGGGCAGAAACAGCAUCAACUGUGAAGGCUGUUGAAGAUCCAGAAACCAGAAGUCAGAUGCAGUCAAUCAAGGACAGUCGGAAGGUGUUUGCCUAACUGGCAGACAAGUAUGGGUUUAGGCAGAAAUAUUUAAAUGUAUUCUAUCAAUGUUCAAAACUCCAAUGUGAGUAGAAGGAGCAGAAUAUCUUUACUUUUUUAGUCUUUUGGUUCCAGCAUUAGAUAGAACUGGUUUAAGUUCAUUCAGAAAACCAAAUGGCCUCUUAAAUUUUCAUGCAGAACUGGAUGCAGCCAAGGAGGAUGUUACAUGAGGUAUGAGAGCGUGGACGGUAAUUCUCUGAGUUCUCCUCUCCAGUUUCUCCAGCAGUGAACAUCCCUGCUGGUUCCGUGUUCUUUCAACCAUCCCAAAGACCAAGAUAGUAUUGUUGACCUCUUCUUUACCAGUCAUAGUCUCAUAAUACAACCCAGACAUUGUGUCCGGAUAUUUUCUGCCAUUUGACCUCUGCUGUCACAACAGAGAUGUUUGGGAUCAGUGUGCAUGCUGAAAGAGUGAGCAAAAGUCACCCAGCAGGAGUCUCGCACAUGUAGAGACCCAGUUAAAGAAUGUGUUGAGAGCAUAUAUGGUAACCUUGAUUUUGAUGGGGCUCCGGGAAAGCCAAGGUGCUGUGAAUUGGUGAUUAUGAAUGACUUAUAUUUUGAUGGUUUGUCUUGGGGACUUCACUGAAAAUGCCUAUCUCUUUAUACUCUCAGAAUUCAUGUGAUAACUGAUAAGCUGAAUAUGACCCCAGAAAAAUCUGAAAGAUGAAUUGUUUGUCAAGAAAUGCAAGGUUGGACACAAAGAUUGAUUCUAAGCUGGGUUACAUGGUAGAGUAGGCCAAGAAGACAAAAGAGUCUUUCUCAUGGAAGUCAAAUGUUGGCCAUAAAUAUUGAAAAGAAACUUAACUAGAACAGUAAGUCGGAGGUUGCUAACUGGGCAGCAUAAGAUUCUGGCUUCUACUAAAAAAAAUAUUUAAAAAAGAGGAAAAAGGAGAUUAAAGAAAUACACAAUAGUCAUUACAUAAUGGAUGCCAUACAUUUUUAGAAGCAUUAGUUUUGUAGAAUUUGAAUAAAAUUGAGAAUUUGAGUAGA